CACGAACCGGACAAACGUUAUUCGGAAUUACUGGGCUUAAAGGGUGCGUAGGCGGUGCGGUAAGUGCGGUGUGAAAGCCCACGGCUCAACCGUGGAAUUGCGCUGCAUACUGCCGUGCUAGAGGGAGACAGGGGUAAGCGGAACUGAUGGUGGAGCGGUGAAAUGCGUUGAUAUCAUCAGGAACACCGGUGGCGAAAGCGGCUUACUGGGUCUUCACUGACGCUGAGGCACGAAAGCUAGGGUAGCGAACGGG
rnacentral:rRNA from 1 species